rnacentral:rRNA from 1 species
GACGAACGCUGGCGGCGUGCUUAACACAUGCAAGUCGAACGGAAAGGCCCUGCUUUUGUGGGGUGCUCGAGUGGCGAACGGGUGAGUAACACGUGAGUAACCUGCCCUUGACUUUGGGAUAACUUCAGGAAACUGGGCUAAUACCGGAUAGGAGCUCCUUCUGCAUGGUGGGGGUUGGAAAGUUUCGGCGGUUGGGGAUGGACUCGCGGCUUAUCAGCUUGUUGGUGGGGUAGUGGCUUACCAAGGCUUUGACGGGUAGCCGGCCUGAGAGGGUGACCGGCCACAUUGGGGCUGAGAUACGGCCCAGACUCCUACGGGAGGCAGCAGUGGGGAAUAUUGCACAAUGGGCGGAAGCCUGAUGCAGCAACGCCGCGUGCGGGAUGACGGCCUUCGGGUUGUAAACCGCUUUCGCCUGUGACGAAGCGUGAGUGACGGUAAUGGGUAAAGAAGCACCGGCUAACUACGUG